rnacentral:lncRNA from 1 species
GGAAGAGGAGGAAUACUAGGUCGCCGGCGGCUGGCUGACUGACCGUGAGGAAGUUGCCGCAGUUCUGCCCCUGCGCCCGGAAGUAGUUGUUGGUCUGGCUGCCGCGGACGCCGGCCGGGAUCCCCUUCUGCUUCUCGCCGUCUACGGUUGCCGCCGGCGUCGGCGCCGCCGCAGCAGCCGCAGGUUGCUGCGCCCUCUGCUCCACCGCCGCGGGGGUCGGCUUGGCGGGCGCCGCGGCGGGCUCGUCGCCACCGCCGCCGAAGAGGUAGCUCAGCGAGCUCUGCCCGCCGCCGUAGCUGACGCCCCUGCCGCGGCCCAUCCUCCGCCUCCUC